CCUGGUGGCUCAGUGGUAAAGGAUCUGCCUGUAAUGCAGAAGAUACAGGUUCAAUCCCUGCGUCAGGA
rnacentral:tRNA from 1 species